GGGCUCGUGGUUUAGUGGUAUAAUACUCCCUUAGCAUCAAACCUGGGAGUGGUCCGGGGUUCGAUUCCCCGCGAGUCCA
rnacentral:tRNA from 2 species